AGAGUUAAACAGUACGUGAAAUUGUUGAAAGGGAAACGAUUGAAGCCAGUCGUACCGACGGGAAAUCAACUUCUCGGGUGCCCACCGCGGGUGAUGUUGAGCCUCACGGUCUUCGUCGCUUGUGUUUGUUGGUUCCUUUGGGGUGUACUUUCUCGUAUGGUAGGUCAACAUCGAUUUCGAACGUCAUAAAAUGAUCGGAGGAAUGUGGCUUCGUUCUUGUAUCGGAGUGUUAUAGCCUUUGGUAGAUGUGACGAUUGGGAUCGAGGAUUGCAACGAAUACCCUUCGGGCUAUCCGUCUGACCUCUGAAAGUUGCUAGGGUGUUGAAAGCGUGCUUAUAACGUUCUAGUUGGCGGUCAAUAGGUUAGAACGCGAUUACAUUCGUUAAGGAUGUUGACGUAAUGGCUUUAAACGACC
rnacentral:rRNA from 1 species